GGCGGCGUGCUUAACACAUGUUAGUCGAACGGAAAGGCCCAGCUUGCUGGGUACUCGAGUGGCGAACGGGUGAGUAACACGUGGGUGAUCUGCCCUGGACUCUGGGAUAAGCCUGGGAAACUGGGUCUAAUACCGGAUAGGACCACUGAUUGCAUGGUUGGUGGUGGAAAGCUUUUGCGGUUCAGGAUGGGCCCGCGGCCUAUCAGCUUGUUGGUGGGGUAAUGGCCUACCAAGGCGACGACGGGUAGCCGACCUGAGAGGGUGAUCGGCCACACUGGGACUGAGACACGGCCCAGACUCCUACGGGAGGCAGCAGUGGGGAAUAUUGCACAAUGGGCGCAAGCCUGAUGCAGCGACGCCGCGUGAGGGAUGACGGCCUUCGGGUUGUAAACCUCUUUCGCUAGGGACGAAGCGUAAGUGACGGUACCUGGAGAAGAAGCACCGGCCAACUACGUGCCAGCAGCCGCGGUAAUACGUAGGGUGCGAGCGCUGUCCGGAAUUACUGGGCGUAAAGAGCUCGUAGGCGGUUUGUCGCGUCGUCUGUGAAAUUCUGCAACUCAAUUGCAGGCGUGCAGGCGAUACGGGCAGACUUGAGUACUACAGGGGAGACUGGAAUUCCUGGUGUAGCGGUGAAAUGCGCAGAUAUCAUGAGGAACACCGGUGGCGAAUGCAGGUCUCUGGGUAGUAACUGACGCU
rnacentral:rRNA from 1 species